rfam:Oryza rufipogon genomic scaffold, chr05
AAUAAGUAUAAUUUUAUACUGUUUAUGUCCAACGUUUGACCGUUCGUCUUAUUUGAAAUUUUUUCAUGAUUAGUGUUUUUAUUGUUAUUACAUGAUAAAACAUGAAUAAUACUUUGUAUAUGACUUUUUUUAAAAGUUUUUUCAUAAAUUUUUCAAAUAAGACGAGUGGUCAAACAUUGGACACAGAUACCCACGGCUGCACUUAUU